GCCUUAGAGUUUGAUCGUGGCUCAGGAUGAACGCUGGCGGCAUGCCUAAUACAUGCAAGUCGAACGAAGUUUUUAGGAAAGCUUGCUUUCCGAAAAGACUUAGUGGCGAACGGGUGAGUAACACGUAGAUAACCUGCCCAUGUGCCCGGGAUAACUGCUGGAAACGGUAGCUAAAACCGGAUAGGUGGCUUCGAGGCAUCUCGGAGACAUUAAAAUGGCUACGGCCAUGAACAUGGAUGGAUCUGCGGCGCAUUAGCUAGUUGGUGAGGUAACGGCCCACCAAGGCGACGAUGCGUAGCCGACCUGAGAGGGUGAACGGCCACAUUGGGACUGAGACACGGCCCAAACUCCUACGGGAGGCAGCAGUAGGGAAUUUUCGUCAAUGGGGGGAACCCUGAACGAGCAAUGCCGCGUGAGUGAAGAAGGUCUUCGGAUCGUAAAGCUCUGUUGUAAGAGAAAAACGGAUCAUGUAGGGAAUGACAUGAUAGUGAUGGUAUCUUACCAGAAAGCCACGGCUAACUACGUGCCAGCAGCCGCGGUAAUACGUAGGUGGCAAGCGUUAUCCGGAAUGAUUGGGCGUAAAGGGUGCGUAGGUGGUACAUUAAGUCUGAAGUAAAAGGCAGCAGCUCAACUGCUGUUCGCUUUGGAAACUGGUGAACUAGAGUGCAGGAGAGGGCGAUGGAAUUCCAUGUGUAGCGGUAAAAUGCGUAGAUAUAUGGAGGAACACCAGUGGCGAAGGCGGUCGCCUGGCCUGUAACUGACACUGAGGCACGAAAGCGUGGGGAGCAAAUAGGAUUAGAUACCCUAGUAGUCCACGCCGUAAACGAUGAGAACUAAGUGUUGGAGAGAUUCAGUGCUGCAGUUAACGCAAUAAGUCUCCGCCGGG
rnacentral:rRNA from 1 species